rnacentral:rRNA from 1 species
UACGGGGGGGGCAAGCGUUGUUCGGAAUUACUGGGCGUAAAGGGCUCGUAGGCGGCCAACUAAGUCAGACGUGAAAUCCCUCGGCUUAACCGGGGAACUGCAUCUGAUACUGGAUGGCUUGAGAUUGGGAGAGGGAUGUGGAAUUCCAGGUGUAGCGGUGAAAUGCGUAGAUAUCUGGAGGAACACCGGUGGCGAAGGCGGCAUCCUGGACCAACACUGACGCUGAGGAGCGAAAGCCAGGGGAGCAAACGGG